GUGGGGAAUAUUGGACAAUGGGGGAAACCCUGAUCCAGCGACGCCGCGUGAGUGAAGAAGUAUUUCGGUAUGUAAAGCUCUAUCAGCAGGGAAGAAAAUGACGGUACCUGACUAAGAAGCCCCGGCUAACUACGUGCCAGCAGCCGCGGUAAUACGUAGGGGGCAAGCGUUAUCCGGAUUUACUGGGUGUAAAGGGAGCGUAGACGGCACUGCAAGUCUGGAGUGAAAGCCCGGGGCUCAACCCCGGGACUGCUUUGGAAACUGUGGUGCUGGAGUGCAGGAGAGGUAAGUGGAAUUCCGUGUGUAGCGGUGAAAUGCGUAGAUAUACGGAGGAACACCAGUGGCGAAGGCGGAUUACUGGACGAUAACUGACGCUGAGGCGCGAAAGCGUGGGGAGCAAACAGGAUUAGAAACCCCUGUAGUCC
rnacentral:rRNA from 1 species